rnacentral:rRNA from 1 species
CCUACGGGGGGCAGCAGUGGGGAAUAUUGGACAAUGGGGGCAACCCUGAUCCAGCCAUUCCGCGUGUGUGAAGAAGGCCCUCGGGUUGUAAAGCACUUUCAGUGAGGAAGAACGCCUGGUGGUUAAUACCCAUCAGGAAAGACAUCACUCACAGAAGAAGCACCGGCUAACUCCGUGCCAGCAGCCGCGGUAAUACGGAGGGUGCGAGCGUUAAUCGGAAUUACUGGGCGUAAAGCGCGCGUAGGUGGCUUGAUAAGCCGGUUGUGAAAGCCCCGGGCUCUACCUGGGAACGGCAUCCGGAACUGUCAAGCUAGAGUGCAGGAGAGGAAGGUAGAAUUCCCGGUGUAGCGGUGAAAUGCGUAGAGAUCGGGAGGAAUACCAGUGGCGAAGGCGGCCUUCUGGACUGACACUGACACUGAGGUGCGAAAGCGUGGGUAGCAAACAGGAUUAGAUACCCUGGUAGUC